GUCUACAGCAAUGCCACCCUGAAUGUGCCCAAUCUCGUCUGAUCUCAGAAGCUAAGCAGGGUUGGGCCUGCUUAGUACUUGGAUGGGAGACCACCUAGGAAUACUAGGUGCUGUAGGUG
rnacentral:rRNA from 1 species